CCUGCAGGGGACUCUGGCCUGCUUGAGCAACAUGGAUCCUGAGAGCACUCCUGGGUACAGAAUCAAGCAAGAAUUGGCUAGGUGAUUCUUCUGCUACACCUGGCUAGGCUUGGCCGAAGCUCAGGGACAGCUCCUCUCAUAUGCCUGGUACCUUGUGGAUAUCUGGAAAACUGAAUUCAUCAAGGCCCCUUUCCCUCAGUGCUGUUGUCUCUCACCUGGUUUCUCUAGUUCUUGUAUUGUUUUGCUUAUUGGUGUUUAAUUAAAAACCAAACAACUUUUCCUAUUAACUUGAUGCUACUUAUUAAUUGAAAUGAGGAGACUGACUCUGGAUAUUGGGAAAAUUUAUGUCUGGAAUAGCAAAUUGACCUCAAAAGAUAUAUUUUGAUCAGGAUGAAUUCCAAAGCUGAAAUUAGUUGUUCUCUGAGUUCAGAGUUUUAGAUUAAACAUCUCUCUCUUGAUAUAUAUAUCUAUG
rnacentral:lncRNA from 10 species